rnacentral:rRNA from 1 species
CCUACGGGAGACUGCAUUGAGGAAUAUUGGUCAAUGGGCGCGAGCCUGAACCAGCCAAGUAGCGUGAAGGAUGACUGCCCUACGGGUUGUAAACUUCUUUUAUAAAGGAAUAAAGUGAGGCACGUGUGCCUUUUUGUAUGUACUUUCUGAAUAAGGCUCGGCUAACUCCGUGCCAGCAGCCGCGGUAAUACGGAGGAUCCGAGCGUUAUCCGGAUUUAUUGGGUUUAAAGGGAGCGUAGAUGGGUUUUUAAGUCAGUUGUGAAAGUUUGCGGCUCAACCGUAAAAUUGCAAUUGAUACUGGCAGCCUUGAGUACAGUUGAGGUAGGCGGAAUUCGUGGUGUAGCGGUGAAAUGCUUAGAUAUCACGAAGAACUCCGAUUGCGAAGGCAGCCUACUAAACUGCCACUGACAUUGAUGCUCGAAAGUGUGGGUAUCAAACAGGAUUAGAUACUCGGGUAGUC